rnacentral:rRNA from 1 species
CGCGUAGGCGGUUGUGAAAGUCAGAUGUGAAAUACUUCGGCUCAACUGAAGAACUGCAUCUGAAACUUCAUAACUCGAGUACAGGAGAGGGAAACGGAAUUCCCGGUGUAGAGGUGAAAUUCGUAGAUAUCGGGAGGAACACCAGUGGCGAAGGCGGUUUCCUGGCCUGAUACUGACGCUGAGGCGCGAAAGCGUGGGGAGCAAACA